rnacentral:rRNA from 1 species
GUGGGGAAUAUUGGGCAAUGGGCGAAAGCCUGACCCAGCAACGCCGCGUGAGGGAAGAAGGUUUUCGGAUUGUAAACCUCUGUCCUUGGUGACGAAGGAAGUGACGGUAGCCAAGGAGGAAGCCCCGGCUAACUACGUGCCAGCAGCCGCGGUAAUACGUAGGGGGCGAGCGUUGUCCGGAAUGACUGGGCGUAAAGGGCGUGUAGGCGGCCGAUUAAGUCUGGAGUGAAAGUCCUGCUUUCAAGGUGGGAAUUGCUUUGGAGACUGGUUGGCUUGAGUGCGGAAGAGGUAAGUGGAAUUCCCAGUGUAGCGGUGAAAUGCGUAGAGAUUGGGAGGAACACCAGUGGCGAAGGCGACUUACUGGGCCGUAACUGACGCUGAGGCGCGAAAGCGUGGGGAGCGAACAGGAUUAGAUACCCCAGUAGUCC